CGAGGAGGUAGGGCUUACGCUCGCGUUUGUCUGUUAUAUCUUGGUGGACGAGUCGUCGUGGUUGGGACUGAGGUGCCUACAACGUGCUUUUGAGUGGGUUUGUGUCUCCGUGUGCGCCGUGUGCGGAUAGCUUGCUAUGUAUGUGUGGUUGUGUGUGGAUUGAUGCGGGCCUUAACUUGUCGCCGUUCGGGACGUUGACGAAAUGGAGCGAUCCGACCCGUCUUGAAACACGGACCAAGGAGUCUAACAUGUGUGCAAGUGUUAGGGUGUGGAAACCCCAGCGCGAAAUGAAAGUGAAGGGCAGCGCAAGUUGUCUGAGGUAGGAAACGUUGCGGGCCUCGGUCUGCGGCGUGGCACUAUCGACCGAUCAUGAACCUUCGUGGUGAAAGAUUUGAGUUUGAGCACAUAUGUUGGUACCCGAAAGAUGGUGAACUAUGCCUGAGUAGGGUGAAGCCAGGGGAAACUCUGGUGGAAGCUCGUAGCGAUUCUGACGUGCAAAUCGAUCGUCAAACUUGGGUAUAGGGGCGAAAGACUAAUCGAACCAUCUAGUAGCUGGUUCCCUCCGAAAUUUCCCUCAGGAUAGCAGCAACUUAUUUACGAUAGUUUUAUGAGGUAAAGCGAAUGAUUAGAGGAUUCGGGGAAGAAACUUCCUCGACCUAUUCUCAAACUUUAAAUCUGUAAGACCUGCAGGUUUCUUAAU
rnacentral:rRNA from 1 species